AGAGAAAGCUGGCGGCAGGCCUAACACAUGCAAGUCGAACGAACUCUUCGGAGUUAGUGGCGGACGGGUGAGUAACACGUGGGAACGUGCCUUUUGGUUCGGAAUAACUCAGGGAAACUUGUGCUAAUACCGAAUGUGCCCUUCGGGGGAAAGAUUUAUCGCCAUUAGAGCGGCCCGCGUCUGAUUAGCUAGUUGGUGAGGUAACGGCUCACCAAGGCGACGAUCAGUAGCUGGUCUGAGAGGAUGACCAGCCACACUGGGACUGAGACACGGCCCAGACUCCUACGGGAAGCAGCAGUGGGGAAUCUUGCGCAAUGGGCGAAAGCCUGACGCAGCCAUGCCGCGUGAAUGAUGAAGGUCUUAGGAUUGUAAAAUUCUUUCACCGGGGACGAUAAUGACGGUACCCGGAGAAGAAGCCCCGGCUAACUUCGUG
rnacentral:rRNA from 1 species